GUGGGGAAUCUUGCGCAAUGGGCGAAAGCCUGACGCAGCCAUGCCGCGUGAAUGAUGAAGGUCUUAGGAUUGUAAAAUUCUUUCACCGGGGACGAUAAUGACGGUACCCGGAGAAGAAGCCCCGGCUAACUUCGUGCCAGCAGCCGCGGUAAUACGAAGUGGGCUAGCGUUGCUCGGACUUACUGGGCGUACAGGGCGCGUAGGCGGAUCGUUAAGUCAGGGGUGAAAUCCCAGAGCUCAACUCUGGAACUGCCCUGGAUACUGGCGAUCUUGGGUGUGAGAGAGGUAUGUGGAACUCCGAGUGUAGAGGUGAAAUUCGUAGAUAUUCGGAAGAACACCAGUGGCGAAGGCGACAUACUGGCUCAUUACUGACGCUGAGGCGCGAAAGCGUGGGGAGCAAACAGGAUUAGAAACCCGGGUAGUCC
rnacentral:rRNA from 1 species